rnacentral:sRNA from 1 species
GUCGGGUUCGGGAUGAACCGGUUCACCCGGCCGCCGAUGACCAGUUGUACGCGCUUGCCGGCCUGCACGACCUGGACGCCGCGGUGCGCGAACCUG